rnacentral:lncRNA from 1 species
AUCACAGUAGUCAAAAGCAAAAUUUCAUGAGAAUGCUCUCCUUCUCUGAAAUGACUAAGGAAGACCUCUUCCUCCAUCCUCAAACUGUCUCACUUCAUCUUCCAUUCUCAGUUUAUGAGCUUCCUGCAGAUUUCUCUGCAGAAAUCUGAACAAUCAGAAAGACCAUUAUCUUCUCACCUCCACACUACAAACCCACGUAUAUCUCUACCUAUAUUCUGGGUCUUCUCUCUUAUUUAAUGUGGUAUUUCUAGUUCCUGGAGCAGUGCCAUUUAUAUAAUAGUUUCCCAGUACACAUUUAUUGGGUAACUCUUCUAUGGAGAUACUUGCAUGAGACUGCAGGAUUCUAGAAGACUCUUAGAUGCUACUUUCUAGUUUGGGUGGGAGGAUGGGCCAAUGACAUUAUUGAGAGGAAAGAGGUGGAUGAGACUGUAGCAAACACUGUGUUUCCCUAUGACCCGCACAUGGCAGCAAUGGACCUGGGAGUCCCAUGUCCGGAAAUGGACAUAAGCAUGCCAUUAGACAGCAGAGGCCUUGGGUCUGUGUAAAGAGGCUGCCAUGGGC